UUUACCCUUUCUUCCAUAUUUUUCUUGCACGAUGAGGUGGAAUAGUUACAAGCUAUCAGAAUGUAUCACUUCAAGAGGUGGAAACAUUUUCAAUUCUGAUAUUUUUGUACCUGAGCACAAGAAUGUAUAGAAGGUCUGUUGCUCUAUCAUGUACUUAAUUGUAUUUUAGCACAUUUCAAUUCCAAGUAAAUAAGCUCAUUUUAUGCUUUCUUUUUUUGGAAUAUUUGGCUUAUGUUUGAGGUACUAUUUGGGUAGGUUUAGCUUGAAGUUAUAGUCCC
rnacentral:lncRNA from 1 species